rnacentral:rRNA from 1 species
AUAACGCAACUAUAUACAACUUUCAGCAACGGAUCUCUUGGCUCUCGCAUCGAUGAAGAACGCAGCGAAAUGCGAUAAGUAAUGUGAAUUGCAGAAUUCAGUGAAUCAUCGAAUCUUUGAACGCACCUUGCGCUCCUUGGUAUUCCGAGGAGCAUGCCUGUUUGAGUCUCAUGGAAUUCUCAACCUUGCAGUUUUGUUACUGCAAGGCUUGGACUUGGAGGUCGUGUCGGCUCUCGCGAGUCGACUCCUCUGAAAUGCAUUAGUGCGGACGUUACCGGUCGCUUCAGCGUGAUAAUUAUCUGCGCUGCCGUCGACUGGUAUGUGAAGUACGCGCUUCUAACCGUCCUUCACGGGACAAUACAUUGAAACUCUGAGCUCAAAUCAGGUAGGACUACCCGCUGAACUUAAGCAUAUCAAUAAGCGGAGGA